rnacentral:rRNA from 1 species
CCGUUCGAAUAGGGCGGUACCUUGACGGUACCUAACCAGAAAGCCACGGCUAACUACGUGCCAGCAGCCGCGGUAAUACGUAGGUGGCAAGCGUUGUCCGGAAUUAUUGGGCGUAAAGGGCUCGCAGGCGGUUUCUUAAGUCUGAUGUGAAAGCCCCCGGCUCAACCGGGGAGGGUCAUUGGAAACUGGGGAACUUGAGUGCAGAAGAGGAGAGUGGAAUUCCACGUGUAGCGGUGAAAUGCGUAGAGAUGUGGAGGAACACCAGUGGCGAAGGCGACUCUCUGGUCUGUAACUGACGCUGAGGAGCGAAAGCGUGGGGAGCGAACAGGAUUAGAUACCCUGGUAGUCCACGCCGUAAACGAUGAGUGCUAAGUGUUAGGGGGUUUCCGCCCCUUAGUGCUGCAGCUAACGCAUUAAGCACUCCGCCUGGGGAGUACGGUCGCAAGACUGAAACUCAAAGGAAUUGACGGGGGCCCGCACAAGCGGUGGAGCAUGUGGUUUAAUUCGAAGCAACGCGAAGAACCUUACCAGGUCUUGACAUCCUCUGACAAUCCUAGAGAUAGGACGUCCCCUUCGGGGGCAGAGUGACAGGUGGUGCAUGGUUGUCGUCAGCUCGUGUCGUGAGAUGUUGGGUUAAGUCCCGCAACGAGCGCAACCCUUGAUCUUAGUUGCCAGCAUUCAGUUGGGCACUCUAAGGUGACUGCCGGUGACAAACCGGAGGAAGGUGGGGAUGACGUCAAAUCAUCAUGCCCCUUAUGACCUGGGCUACACACGUGCUACAAUGGACAGAACAAAGGGCAGCGAAACCGCGAGGUUAAGCCAAUCCCACAAAUCUGUU